rnacentral:rRNA from 1 species
ACUCCUACGGGAGGCAGCAGUGGGGAAUAUUGCACAAUGGGGAAACCCUGAUGCAGCCAUGCCGCGUGUGUGAAGAAGGCCUUCGGUUGUAAAGCGACUUCAGUAGGGAGGAAGGUAGUGUAGUUAACACCUGCACUAUUUGACGUUACCUACAGAAGAAGCACCGGCUAACUCCGUGCCAGCAGCCGCGGUAAUACGGAGGGGUGCGAGCGUUAAUCGGAAUUACUGGGCGUAAAGCGCAUGCAGGCGGCCUGUUAAGUCAGAUGUGAAAGCCCGGGGGCUUAACCUCGGAAUUGCAUUUGAAACUGGCAGGCUAGAGUCUUGUAGAGGGGGUAGAAUUUCAGGUGUAGCGGUGAAAUGCGUAGAGAUCUGAAGGAAUACCAGUGGCGAAGGCGGCCCCCUGGACAAAGACUGACGCUCAGAUGCGAAAGCGUGGGGAGCGAAACAGGAUUAGAUACCCUGGUAGCUACGAG